GUGGCGCCUUCUCACUGACUCUAUCAGAGCGUGGAUAGACUGUGUGCCCUGGGGGCUGAUGUGGACAGGAACACCAGGUUCUCCCUCAUUUGUUCUUUAUCUGUACUUACUGCACGUUUUUCUGCCAUGGACUUUUUAUUAUUCUAAAUUGUGAGUGAGAUAAUAGUUGGUUUCUCAAAGUGCAAAGGCUAAACCUACUGAUAAACUUCAGCCGCUACCAAAGGAUAAACGCCACCCAAACUGCCAAAACAAUCAUGACCUCACUUCCUGCAUGGAGUCCGGAAUGCUUCACCAGAAACCCAGAGAACCCAGCAGGCAAGGCUCUGGCACAGGUCACAGGCAGAGAUCAAUGAGUCAUCCAAGCCGUUCCUCGGCCAACUCUUUUAAGGAAGAAAGAUACGGAAAACACACAGCUCCUGCGUAAUCAUGAAAAAAUAUCAGACGAAUUCCAAUAGAGGAGCAUCCCACAAAAUAUUUGACUAGUACUCCUCAAAACCAUCAAGGUCAUGAAAAACGAAGAAAGUUGGAGAAACUGUCACAGCCCAGAGGGUCCUAAGGAGCCAAGAUGAGUGCGUGUAAUAUAGUAUCCUGGAUGGGAUUCUGGAAAAGAAAAGGACAUUGGGUUGAAACAAAGGAAAUCUGAGUAAACUACGGACUUUCAUUAAAUUUUAAAAACUGAAUGUGUCAGAUAGUGAUCACUGUGGUAAGAAAGUGAGAAGGAGUCGGCUAAGGAGCAACAACGUCGGGGAGGGCUGUCUUGGCCAGGGACGUCUCACUGAGGAGCGGACAGCUGAGGUGCAAGUUGAAUGAUGAGAAGGCACCAAUCUGCCAAGCAGGAACCAGCAUCUGAGGAAUGGAAACACAUGGCAAAGAUCCUGAAGGGGGAAUGAGCUGUUGUGUCCAAGAGACACACAGAAGUCUGGUGUGGACAGAACCUUGAAAGCAAAUGGGAGAAUGGUACAAGACGGCACAGAAGAGGUAGACAGGGACUAAAUUGUGGGGGGUUUUCUAGGUCAGGCUAAGGAAAUUAAAUGUUAUUCAAAGUCAUUGGAGAGUUUUAAGCAGAAAAGUGGCAUGAUGUAUCUUUGAAAAAUAUUCCUUCAGCUACUGCGUUCAGAAUAGAUUAUAUUACUGGUUGUCUGAGGCUGAAGAGAGGAGGAAAUGAGAAGUGAUCAUUUACUGGAUAUAGGGGUUUGCAGGGGUGAUGAUAAUGUUCUGGAAGUAGGUAGUGGUGAUGGUUGUGGAACACUGGCCGUGUGCUAAUAACCACUGAAUUGUCCAUCUUACAGUGAUUUAAAUGGUAAAUUUUAUCUUAUGUAAAUGUCUUAAUUUAGAUUAAGAAUAGACUGUAGAAGUUCAGGCAAGCAUGAAGGCAGGUCGUUUAGCUGUGAGGCUAUUGCUUGGUGCAGGAGAGAAUGAAUGAU
rnacentral:lncRNA from 13 species